rnacentral:lncRNA from 1 species
CGUGGAUGCACCUUGAGGACAUCAUGCUCAGUGAGAGAUGCCAGAGACACAGAAGGACACACCCCGCAUGGUUCCACUCCUAGGAGGUCCAUAGAGCUGUCAGAUUCAGGGAGACAAAAGGAAAAAAUAACUGAAGGAAGGCUGCAGAGGUCCCACAUCCGCAGCUUACAGAAACGGAGGCCCGGAGGGCAUGAUGUCCCCACAGGUGCCCUGGAAGAAAAAAGCGAGCCAUAAGUCAAGGCCAGAAAAAGGCUGCCUUUGCCGUUGACAAAAGAGGCCCCGGCCCGGACUCGGCAGCGCCACCCGCCCGGCAGCCGCAGGCUCCGUGGAAGGAAGGUCCUGCCCCGUGUCUCCAUCCCGUCUCCCUGGGCCUGGGCGCUCAGACCAGGUUGUACUCCUUGAGGUUGAGCUGCAGGAUGGUGUCCUUCACGGCCGCGAACACGAAGCGGAUGUUCUCCGUGUCGGUGGCACACGUGAAGUCAGGUCCUUCUUGUUGAGGAAGAGGAUGACGGAGGAGUUCUGGAACCAGGGGACUUGGUCGUAUUCGCUGAGGGCGACGAGAAACAUGAUGGAUGUCACGUUCUCAAAGCAGUGGAUCCACUUCCUCCGCUCCGACCGCUGGCCCCCCACAUCCACCAUCCUGAAAGGACACAGCGCCAGGACUCAGCCACCUGGCGCCCCAAGGCCCAAUCUGCAAUCCCAGGACGGCUCCCACCCAAGCCCCUCCUGCCACACCAGACUGACAUCGGCUGGAGCAGGAAGAGCCCCCACUCUUAGAACGGGCAAGGACGCUCUCAGAGAGCGGCCGCACCGCCUCCAGGGGUGACCACCGCAGACCCUUCCCUCACUGGCAAAGGGGCCUGAGACCACUGGGCCCAGGGAAGCGGGCGCUAGUGUGGGGGUGUGAGAACCCAGAGGAUUCUGGGCGCCAGCUGCUGCGGGAACCUGCGAUGGGUGCCCAGGGACCCUACAUCUGGCAUCUGGAUGUCACCCUGAGCACAGAAGCCUUUCCCCUCACUGGGCCAGGGACACAGAUGUUCACCAAGCGUCACUCGCAGGAGUAAACACUGAUGCCACAGUUGCUCCCUGCAGGGACCCUCCAGUGACGGCUGCAGAGGGCAGAGUUGCCGGUAUCCUCCUGGGGCAGAAGAGCAGGCGCAGCGCCCUGCCCCGCGUGGUGAGCAGCUCAACCUCACACUCUCAGGCCACGCACAGGCGGGAGAAAGAAAAUCAGCUCAGACGAUGUCUGCGGGCGUGCGUUCCUUACGGGACGUUUGCCUCUUUCUACUUGUGACUUUUCUAAGUUUUCUAUAACGAGAAAAGGCACUUUGGUCUCCUUGAAAGAAUACAAAGGCAGAAGCGGAGAGUGCCCCUCAGGCCCUGGCCCCAGGCCCCAGGGAAGGCCGGGGUCCCUGCAACUCUGCCGAGGAGAGCGGGGCUGCUUUGGGCAUGUGAGUGGUGAAAUCCACCUGGUCUGGUCUGCGGGGGAGUCCAGCAGGCACCGGUGGAUGACAGAUGUGCCAGGUGACUCUAAGGGACAAGAGGGCCCGCACCAGCAGCUGUGGCCAGGCGGGAGGACAGUGGGUGUGCCGACACCAGGCCACAGCCCGUCUGGAGCGCGAGGCCUCUCCUGCACGCCUGCGGCGGCCGGCAGGGCUGGGAUCCGGGUCCCCCCGUGUCUUGUCCCCACCUGAGGGAGCAGGAGCCUCUCCUCACGCACUGGGACGAUCCCACCGGCCUUCAAGGCCUCCAGCUGCAUCCCACAGCACCUGGCCGGCCCUCUGCCAGCGUGUGGUGGACAGAGGCGGCUGGCAGAGAAACAAUGGUGGCAGAGGAGUAGGCUCAGGACGGGGGUCUGCACCCGGCACAGAGGGCACAGCCGGGCCGGGCGCGGUGGCUCACGCCUGUAAUCCCAGCACUUUGGGAGGCCGAGGCAGGCGGAUCACGAGGUCAGGAGGUCGAGACCAUCCUGGCUAACAUGGUGAAACCACAUCUC